CCGAUAGCGCGUAAAAACAGGGCUACGCAAAAGGAGUGUCUAUAAAUCUUUGAAACUACGGACGUAAUAUAUAUGUUUUAUAUAUCAUAUUUUUGGAAAUUUUCUAUAUUUUUUAACUAUGUAAAAAUCAAUUGAGUAAAUAAAGCCAUAAAAUUAAAAAAAGCAUUUAAAAUGAAAGAUGACUUCGUCUAAAUAUGACGCAACGCUUUGUCGCAAGGCCAUUUCCCCCCUCGCUAUGAUUUUUUUUAUUUUCCUUAUGAAUGCAAUGUUUUUUUUAUAUUUUUGAAAAGCAUAUAUUCCCUGCUUUCAGUACAUAUAAAAAUUAUUUUUAAUGCCUGCCAACGUUAUAAGAAAAUAGCAAUUUUUUGCACAUGUACGUUUUUUUACGAUUUUAUUUCUCAAUGUUUAAACAGAUCGGCGUUUUAUCUAUAUUUAUAUAUGGAAAUAGGGAAAAGUAAAUACAGCCUGUAAAAGUAGAGGAAAUCUUCUUUUUGAUGGACCCUUAUUCAUAUUAUAAUUCUCGGUAGUUUUUAUAUUACGAUAAAAUGAAAUUGGGACAUGCUGCGCGGUUUUCUUAAAAAUUAGCGACAAAUCGACGUCGCUAACAGCAAUCGACGCGCGUCGCACAAUAAAGUGGUGAAAACUAUUUGUAUUGUCCUCUAUUAGUAAAUUCAGCACCUUUUGAUACACUAAAACAACAUACAUACAUGUAUGAAAUAAUCAGCCAGGUAUCUCUGCUUUUUAAAAAAAAGCAUAAAACCAAUAUUGGUAUAUAAACAGUUACUCAACCUACAUGUAACUUCAUAAAACACCUAUUGAGAAUGUUACAUCGGCAGAAUGAAUUUAAAAAAAGAUAAAUAAAGUACUUCAAAUUCAGAUAUAAACGUUAUAUUUGUUCGGAAUAGUAAUAAUUUUUUUCUCUGCCAAAGAAAGAAAACAAAAAAGAAGUUCACCUAUAUAUAGCCCGUAUACUUUUAUUUUUCCGUGAUCCGGAUCGCGGGCCUCGCGGGGUUUUCUGAAAGUGUGCACAGAGAACACACGUGUUUCCGUUUCAACGAAAACAACACAGCUUCACCGUGAUUGUCACAGCGAUCGCUUGUAUUUUACAUCUUUAAAACGACCUGAUGUCAGAAGAAGAAGAUGCCCUGGAUCUCCUGUUGCAGGAUGACCCAAACGAUCAUGCAUUUAGUAUAAAUACGUACAUGGUAUUGACAUCCCAAUAUUUAGUUAGGGAGGGUUGCCAUAUACUUCCCAAGGAAAUUUGCAGCCUCUCACUGAAGAGGAACUGUACAGAGGGCCUUGAUUAUCGGAAACAUUUACAGAGCCAAUUGAGUUACUUUUUUCCCCAGAUUUUUGUGCAUUAUCUUAUAUAUGCCUGCUGUGAAGUUCCAGUCGAUAGACAGAUAUUGGUCAACGCAUGCCCCUGUCGGAACAACUCAUUAUCAAGAAUUAUGUCUAGAAAUAGGUUUCAAGAGGUUGAAUAUAAGAACAUUUUUGUUAAAUAUGAUGCAAGUACAUUUAAAUCUAGUGAUUGAAAGUAAGUACUUGAACAUUUGUAUAUGUUGAACUUGGAGAGGAAAAAUGGUUAGUACUUUUUUAUAACAUUUGAUAAGAUGUUGUUGCUGAGCAACCAAAUAUAAUUGAAUAAAAAAAUAAAUUAUUUUAGAUUAACAGUAAUUGAAAGGUCUUUGUUUUAAUGUUGCAAUACUUAUUCUAUUUAAUGGAACAUAAUGGCAAAACGUCAUAUUAUUAGAAAAUGAUGGACAAGUAUAUAAAGUACGAAGUUUCCAUUUGAUGUCCUUUGACCUUAAUUCUCUGCAUCAUAUUUUUUGCUAAAAACCUUUUAAAAUGAUUAAGAUCUAUUUAAAGAUUAUAUUUUUAAAAUAAUGGGACAUUUACUAAUCAUCAUGGAAUGUAAUUACGUUUAAAUUGUGUCGAAUGGAUGCAGAAAGGCAAAUUAUGGUCAAAAUUGUACUAUGAGUGUUGUUACUUAGCAACCAAAAUUAUUUGUUUGUCAAUAAAAUUGAUUAGUUUGA